CGCCCCGACCCCGCGGUGGAGAGGUUCUUAGGGGCUGGGGCUUGGGGGGAGGGGGUGGGACAUCAAUGACGGCCCCAGGUAAGGGGACAGGGGAGGAAGGUGUUCUUACAAGCCCUUUGGCUACUUUGCCCUUCCCAACUCCCCUCUGGGGCAAACGCCAUCUCUGCUUCUGGAACUUUCGGGUGGGGCUGCUCUACUUUCCUCUCAACGUCUUCCAAGAACCCUGGGGCGUCUGUAGAAGUUUCUGGAAGGUGGCGCUCAAGAAUGAAGGUUUAACCUCUCAGGUUCCUGCAGCCCAGACUAAAGAUUUGGGAGGGGUGAAAGGCCACACCCACCACCACUCCAGGGCUCCCGGGAUCGCCACACCUCUGGCAGCACCGACUCACGGACCUCAGCGACCAGAGGAACAUUGUCUCCUGUUACUCACCGCAGCCUCCAACCAUCGCCUCGCUGUAAAUCCGGGGUGCCUGCUGGCCCGACCUGGGGCUCCCCCUUCCCUCCCCCUCCUGCUGCCUCCCCAUCCCUCGAGUCUCAGGGAUUUAAGGUCGAAAUGAACCUUAGAUUGUUUUCCAAG
ensembl:lncRNA